rnacentral:lncRNA from 1 species
GCGGCAACAGGCACUGAGGAUGCAGAGAUGAGCCCUCCUGAUGAGGGGAGGUUUGGGAGCAGGAUUUCCCUCCAGGUCCGCAGCAUCCCUCUAUCUGCUGCCUGCUGUAGAAAUGCUUUGUGCUGGAGCAGAGCCCGUAGGUGACCUCUAGAUGGAUCAGACCUGCUCGUUUUAAAUGUCUGUCCCUCUCCUCGGGCUUAGGUGUUCGGUGACAAGCUGGAAAAUCAUGUUAGGUAGGUGCUACAGGAGGCAGAGGGAUGCCUUUUGCAUUGGAAAACAGGGAGGGAGGAGAGCUGGUAAACUCUGAAUAGCAGCAAGAAGAGCGAGCAGGGAUGCUCUCCGCCUCCUGUGCUGGUCUCUGUGUGCCAUAAGAACAGACUCCCUGGAAAUUCAUCUCAACAGCUGAUUUCUCAGGGUCUCUCCUCGCCUGCUGCUGAUCCGGACAGCAUCCAUCCCCUCACCCGGCUGAGGACUGGCUCCCUCAUCUUGUGUGCGCAUGCUGAGCAUCGGCUUGCCACGGGGUCUCGCAGACGUGUGCCACCACCACCAAGGGAUCCUUUCCAGAGGGCAUUAUUAUUAUUUUUUUCUCCUCCUUCUUAACUCAGCUCUGCAGCAGCUGCAACAUUACAACAAAUAAGCGUGCCGACCCGAGCUGCUGUUGUGCAGCCUGGUGCCCGCGAACGGCUCCGGCGGGCAGGGCGUCGUCGCCUCGAAACUCAAGGGCUCGCCGUGAAGCACACCGUGGACGGUCCAACAAGUGGCUCCUGGCUGGUGUCGUCCUGCCUCGUGCUCUCUCCCGGACCCGCAGCUCUCCUUUCCUGCUUCUGCAGCUGAUGGAGCGCGCGGGGUAGCGAGAGCGUAGCAUGCGUGAGCGUGCGGUGGGACCGGUGCCCACGGCUGCAGGCGGGCGCACGCUCGGAGGUGGCGGGGGCCAUGGCUUCGUUCGGGAAGCUGACGGAGUACUUCAGCCUGAGGAAGUCGAGGACGGAGCUGCGCUCCGAGCGGCGGGGCCGGCGCAGCGGGAGCUGCUGCUGUAGUGUCACCGAGUGCAGGUCGCUGGACAGAAAGCUGCAGAGACCGCUCCUGGGGAAGUCCCGGACGCUGCCCAGCAUCCCGCAGUCCCCGGUCCUGAGCAGGCUUCCCCUCCUUGACUCCACGGCAUAUAGGGAGGAGAUGCCGGAGCAGAAGUCCUACAAGAAGCACUCGGCCUCUGAUGGCCAGAAGGGCUGCACGGUCCCAUCUGCCGGUGAGUGCCAGGGAGAGCUUUGUGCCCGUUCUGCCUGGGGGCCAGCAAAAUCUUACCCAACGUGUCCUUGUUCUGCAGGGGUGCGAACAGCAAGGUAAAUCCAAUCCCUGUCUGUAGGGGGUUUAUGCUGCCUCAAAAACAAAUGUUCUUGGUGAGAUUUAUUUUUUUUUUUUAUCCACUUCUGAGGCUUUCUUUGAGCCUGUUAUUUAAACCUUCCCACCUUUUAUUACACCGAUGAAAAAGCCGCAUGGGGCUGCAAGAGCCCUUGGCUCGGAGGUGAUGCUCGGAGCAUCAGAGCUGGGUCUCCUGGCCACAUGUGAACUGCUGCUCCGGGUUCCUCCGGCCUCCCCAACAGACCCAGGUGCCUUCCUUCUGCAGCAUCAAGUGGCUUCAGGGUGCCCGUUGCUGUCCCCAUGGGGAGCAGAGGCUGGGUGGCACCGCGUGGCUGUGCCGUUGUCCUGGCCCGCAGUGGGGGUUUGCUGUGGCAGAUGCUCCCAGCCUGGGAGCGUGUGUUGGCCUUCGUGUCAACAGAGGAUUUUUUACUGUGUUCUGCUCUUGUGCUGAUCCUGAUGAAAUACUAAUAUGGUUGGACCAGCUGCUCUGAGCAAGUUUAUUGGCAAAACUGUUGAUGGGCAAAGUGUUUCACGCUUCUGGUGCCAGCAGAAUCACGCUGGGGCCAUAAGAACGAUGGGGAAAGCGAUUAGCACUGAAACAGAGAUAAGGCUCGCCAGCCAGGGCUGACAAUCCAGUGCAAAAUAAAACCCUUAUAAAAUAGCUCCCGUCUACCA